rnacentral:lncRNA from 1 species
AAUAACCUUCUUCACUCGUCCCUCUGGCUUCUCUACAAACACCAUAGAUACAUGUUUCUUUGAAGAAGAGGGUUUUAUUUGGAGGUUCUUUUUCUUCUAUCGACACCACCGUUUCCUCUUUCUUUCAUUCCCCGACGUUCAACAAUCCUCUGCGUUUCCCUCUUCCUCUGUUAGGUAACGUUCUUGAUUUUUUUUUGUGUAUUUUAUUGAUUUCGUUUUGUUUUUGUUAGGUAUUUUGAAUUAGGCUAACAUCUUCAGGCCUCCCUUCAUCACUGUGAUGGAUUCAUCGGGCUAUUGGGUUGUACCUUUAUUCUUUGUAGUUGUAGUAUGACGUCUGGUCCGAUGUCAGUUUGGUUCACCAUCAUCAUCGAUCAAGAAAACGAGCACAUGUCUUUCUCCUCUGAUUUCUAGGCUGUGAGUUUAAUUGUCUCUUUUCUCCUCCGAUUUCUGGUUUUCUUUUUUCUUUCUAUUUCUCGUCCAUUUAUUUUUUGUUUUGUUGGUUUUUUGAAGCAGGCCACCUAAUAGAAAGCACCCAUCAAAUGAAGAUGAUUGGUCCAACAAUAGUUAAGUUUAAAUAGUCUUGAAACCCAAAAAAGUACUGUUUAGUUGUAGAUUCUUCUUCUGUGCACUUUAGGUGUUUGAUGAAAUGUCUUAAUGUUAUUGGAUUAAAUUAUUGAGCUAUUAGAGAUUCAAUCAGGGAAAGAAAAUUUAUUGUUUGUAGUUUUAACUCAAUUAGAAAUAGAAGUGUAUUUGGUUCUAACUAAGAGUUGCCUAUAAUUAAUAUACGUUAGGCUGAAGUGUUAAAUUUCCAUAUUUGAAACAGAUUUUGAUUGUCAUUGCUACAAAAAUAUAUGGACUUAUGUUUGUAAUUUUCUUACUGCAGGAUUUUUAGAGAUUGAAAAUUGAUUUUUUGGGGGCAUAAGGAAAGUAAGCUUGAAUCUUAAUCAAAUGAGGAAUACUUCCAAGAGGUGUUGUGAUUUUUUUAACAAUUUAUAUGCUGAGCUUUUUGUUUCAAGGCUACUACAAAGAUACGUUUUUAGUUCCAUUGAAUCUCAAAUAAGGGUGUUGGGUGAUUUCCGUCUUCUAUCCACUGAAUUACAAAAGAUAUGAGUCUGUAACUUUGUUUGUUUAUUUCCAGAAAUACCCCUCUGUUCCUAAAAACUUGUGCUUAUAUAUAUAUAUUAUCUGCAGGAAAUGAUGGGAUUAACUAACUUCAUGUUGAAUCAAUCAAAAACGAUGCUGAAUAUUGCAUAGAAACACCUUCAGUACUUAUUUAGUAUGCCUGGUAGAUCUUUACAUCAGGGAAGGAAAUGCCUCAUGGUGGAUUGAAAUGUUAAAAUCAAGUGGUCAAUAUAAAGAGGUGCUGAUGUAUACUUUCGUAUCUCUGAUGAGGUAAUAAUCAAUCCCUUUUGUGAAUAAAAAGUAUUAUAUAUGGGAUUUUUGUUAAAAAACUUCAUUUUUUUUUGUUGGAACCUCUUCAUUCAG